GGAACAAAGGUGGGUGACGUGCAGAUAUUGUGAUGUAGAAUCCAGAUGUAGCUCAAAUAAUAACAAAGUAUAUUACUGGGCAACGAUGGACACCUUGCAAAGAGAUGUUAUCCAACAACAUAGAAAACCCAUAUUUGUUGGACUCACCCUCAGUAUAUUAUGUCCCAGACAUGUAACGGUCUCUACCAAAAUUCCAAAACGGCAGACACCUGACUAUGUCUGGUAUUCAAAGUACAUAAAUGUCAUAAAUUGAUUUCCUCUAUUAAUAGUUUAGCAACAAAGAAAAAAACUAACAUGGGUAUUCAAGCACAUAAUAGGAACUUUCAAUGACUAAACUUGUUUGAAUAUGAACAUGAAUACAAACAUAAAUUCAAGCAGCAGGAACAAUGAAAAACAUAUUUUGUUGAAAGGAACAAAGAGUUUAGUGAGGGGCAGAAAUUGUGAUGUAGCAUCCAGAUGUAGCUCUAAUAAUAAUAGCAUAUUACUGGGCAACGAUGGACACCUUCCAAAGAGAUGUUAUCCAACAACAUAGAAAACCCAUAUUUGUUGGACUCACUCUAAGUAUAUUAUGUCCCAGACAUGUAACAGUCUCUGCCAAAUUUUCAAAAACGGCAAACACCUGACUAUGUCUGGUUUCAAAGUACAAAAAAUGACAAAUUGUUGUCCUCUAUUUUAAGUUUAGCAUAACAAGGAAUAAAAAAACUAACACUAGAUUCGAGCACCGUAAUAGGAACUUCCAAUAAUUAAACUUGUAUGAAUGUGAAUACAAACAUAAAUUCUAACAUAAUGAAUAAUGUAAGAAAUGAUUUAAUUAAAAGGUACAAAGGUGAUUGAGAGGCAGAAAUUGUGAUGUAGAAUCCAGAUGAAGCACAGAUAAUAACAAAGUAUAUUACUGAGCAACGAUGGACACCUUCCAAAGAGAUGUUAUCCAACAACAUGGAAAACCCAUAUUUGUCAGACUCACUCCAAGCAUAUUAUGUCCCAGGCAUGUAACAGUGUCUACCAAAUUUCAAAUAACAGCAGACACUUGACUAUGUCUGGUAUUCAAAGUAAAACAAUGUCAUAAAAUGUUUUCCUUUAUUAACUCUUCGGCAAAGAAAUGAAAAUUUUAUCGUAGGUAUUCAAGAACCUUAAAAGAAACUUUCUAUAAUUAAUCUUGUUUGUGAGUAUAUAAACACAAACAUAAUUCUACCAAAACAAAUAAUACAAAAAUGA
rnacentral:lncRNA from 1 species